UACUACCGAAGCUACGGCAUCAGUAAUGAUGGGUAGGGGAGCUUCCCAUACGGGUUGAAGCAUGACCGUAAGGACAUGUGGACAGUAUGGGAGUGAGAAUGUUGGCAUGAGUAGCGAGAUGUGGGUGAGAAUCCCACAGGCCGUAAACCCAAGGUUUCCAGGGGAAGGUUCGUCCGCCCUGGGUUAGUCGGGACCUAAGCUGAGGCCGAAAGGCGUAGGUGAUGGACAACAGGUUGAUAUUCCUGUACUACCGAUAACCGUUUGAGAGAAGGGAUGACACAGUAGGAUAAGCUAAGCACCCUGUUGGUUAUGUGUGCCCAAGCAUUGAGGCAGGCAAAGUAGGCAAAUCCGCUUUGAUAAUGCUGGGAUGUGAUGGGGAGCGAAAUUUAGUAGCGAAGUAGCUGAUUUCACACUGUCAAGAAAAGUCUCUAUCGAGGUUAAAGGUACCCGUACCGCAAACCGACACAGGUG
rnacentral:rRNA from 1 species